rnacentral:lncRNA from 1 species
AGGGGGGCUGCCUCCACUUCAUACUAUUAAAUGAGGUGGAGAAAUCCACUCUAUGCUAAAUAAAGUGGUGAAAUGCAUUGCUGCAUAUCAUCUUCUUCUUCACCACUUGUUUUAGGCAGCCAUGGAAAUGGAGAAACCAACCCUGCAAGUCUUGGCCAGCAGCUGCAAAUAAUUUGGUUAGUAAUCUCCUUGUUUGGUGUGUUAAUUAUUUAGAAUACCUUUGUUAAUUAUCCAUUAAUUUUAAGAAGGGGGCUUUACCAGUAGCUUAGGAAGUUUGUUUUAGUUAUUGAAUGGACUAAUUAUGAACGGAAACCAUAAUCGGAUUAUUAGUGGUGUCGUGUUGGUGCUUGGGCUGUUUUGAUUAAAGCAAACUGCGGGAAAAUUCUGUUUUGGCAUUAUGUAUAUGUAAAAUGUGAUUAUGAGUAUAUACUCCAAAGGAUGAAUACGAUAAGGUAGAUGUGUUGUGUUAUGCCUCGUAUUUUUUUAUACGUAGUGCGCAUCGUGAUCUAGUGGACGUAAGUCCGAGGAAUGAGAUUUUAUUUUAAGUUCCAAGUGAUUAAAGAAAUAUUAGGAAAGGAUGUUAUUUCCAAAUGUGAUAUUAAGUAUGAGUUGGCUAAUGUAAGUGCCAUUAUCUUUAAGUGAGGGAUUAAUUAGUGGCUAAUUUGGAUUAAUUUAAUCCAAUGGGCCCCACCACUCAUAAUUGGUGGCUGAUUAAUAUUUAAUCCAGUGGGCCCCACCACUCAAGGCAAAAAUUAAAAAGGAAUCAGAUUGUGGGCUGGCCUUAGUGGACAGGUGUAGAGGGGGGCUGCCUCCACUUCAUACUAUUAAAUGAGGUGGAGAAAUCCACUCCAUGCUAAAUAAAGUGGUGAAAUGCAUUGCUGCAUAUCAUCUUCUUCUUCACCACUUGUCUUAGGCAGCCAUGGAAAUGGAGAAACCAACCCUGCAACUCUUGGCCAGCAGCUGCAAAUAAUUUGGUUAGUAAUCUCCUUGUUUGGUGUGUUAAUUCUUUAGAAUACCCUUGUUAAUUAUCCAUUAAUUUUAAGAAGGGGGCAUGACCAGUAGCUUAGGAAGUUUGUUUUAGUUAUUGAAUGUGCUAAGUAUGAAUGGAAACCAUAAUCGGAUUAUUAGUGGUGUCGUGUUGCUGCUUGGGCUGUUUUGAUUAAAACAAACUGCAGGAAAAUUCUGUUUUGGCAUUAUGUAUAUGUUGAAUGUGAUUAUGUGUAUAUAAUCCAUAGGAUGAAUACAAUAAGGUAGAUGUGUUGCGAAUUAUAAAACGAAUUAUCGCUCGGUGUGUCAUUGCUUCGCUGCUAUGGUUGCCGAGACGGAACUGUUUUGGGGAGGGGGCUGUUUAAUAUGAUUCUUUGGGUUAUAUGUGUUAUUGGUAUUGCUGUGGAUAAUUUGGAUUGUUGUCGGAUUGGGACGAACUAAGGAAAAUAGGGGAGGUGUUGCCGAAUUUUCGUUAGAUUAUUAGCUAGCUUACAAGAAAGUAAAGCACGAUGUUUAUCUAAUUGCGGCACGAUUGUUGCUUGUUAUAGAUUAAUAGCUUGAGCAGUAAAUAUUGGACGUGCGGCUCGAUUAUACGGUAUGUAACGCUGUCCCUUCUUUCUUUGUUUGGCAUGACUUUUAAAAAUAAGCGAAUAAAGGACAGGUUUGAUACUUACCUCUAAAGCGUCUAGGUGACGUAUAUUCUUGCUUCCACAAUUAUUCCUCUAUAUAUUGACUAUGUCUAAGGCUAUGAUGAUCUCUAAUAUCUAUGGUAGUGCUUCUUAGAGUCAUUGAGAUUUUAUGUUUCCAUAUCGUAUUAAAGGUUCAUAAUCUUGAUAAAACAUUAAUCUUUGGUAAUACUCCUUGCUGGUUCACGUUGAUUGUUCUAUUGAGUUAUAAGAAAUGAUUUUAAUUGCAUAUGGUUGCUCAUAAUAUUCUGCUCGUGCAUAGAGUCAUUUAUCAUUUCACCGAGUCCCGGGCCGGGUAAUGUUCGUGCGGAGUUUCUUGCAUAUGUCACCGAGUUCCUCACUAGAGGGCCGGGUAUGUAUAUUAUAUAUAUGAUUGGUGAUGAGGAUGGUUAUGAUGAUGAUGAUGACGGAGAUGACGUGAUGAUUAUUUUGCUGAGCCUCUUACUAGGGAAGCUGGGCACCUUAAAUGUUAAAUAUAUGCAUGAUUUUCACUUAAAAGGGUAUAUGUGUAGCGAUAUUUUGUUUCGACUUGCUAUAUUGGUAUCCUGUCAUCUUUACCUUAUGCUUUACAUACUCAGUACAUUGUCCGUACUGACCCCCCUUUCCUCGGGGGGCUGCGUUUCAUGCCCGCAGGUGUAGACGCACAGUUCGGUGAUCCUCCCGCCUAGGAUAUCUACUCUGCUGAUUGGGAGAGCUCCACUGUUCGGGAGCCCAGUCGUUUUGGUACAUAACUUUUUGUGUAGUCUUUUGCUCAUCGAUGGGUACGGCGGGGCCCUGUCCCGUCGAGUUUCACUACUGUACUCUUAGAGGUCUGUGGACAUUAUGUUGGUUGUAUAUAUAUGUUUUGAAUAAUGGUCUGGACAUGGUUUGUUUGGGAUGUCCGCUUGUACAGGGGCAGCCUUGUCGGCUGCGUACAUCAUUGUGUAUUGUGUAGUGGCAGCCUUGUCGGCAUACGUAUGUUAUUAUGCUUUGAAUAGUGGCGGCCUUGUCGGCUCGUGUAUGCUGUUAUGGUUGAAUGGUUAUAGACUCCUUAUGAGACAGGUCCUCUUAUAUAUAUAUGACGUUGGGGUUGGCUUGAUUUGAUUAAAUUCCAUAUUGUCUUAGUUUCAGUUGGUUAUACUUAGCAGGUUUGUAUGUGGGUGU